rnacentral:rRNA from 1 species
GAAUACAUUAGCAUGGGAUAAUGGAAUAGGACCCUGUCCUCCUAUUUUCAGUUGGUUUUGGCAGCGCGAGGACUAGGGUAAUGAUUAAUAGGGAUAGUUGGGGGCAUUAAUAUUUAAUUGUCAGAGGUGAAAUUCUUGGAUUUAUGAAAGAUUAACUUCUGCGAAAGCAUCUGCCAAGGAUGUUUUCAUUAAUCAAGAACGAAAGUUAGGGGAUCGAAGACGAUCAGAUACCGUCGUAGUCUUAACCAUAAACGAUGCCGACCAGCGAUUAGGAGACGUUGAAUACAAAACACCACCAUCGGCGCGGUCGUCCUUGGCGUCUCGGUCCUUCGCGGGGCCGGGGCGCGAGGGCGGCGUAGCCCGGGGGCACCGGCGAAUGACUCCGUAACAACUUGUGAGAA